rnacentral:rRNA from 1 species
AAAUUGAAGAGUUUGAUCAUGGCUCAGAUUGAACGCUGGCGGCAGGCCUAACACAUGCAAGUCGAACGGUAACAGGAAACAGCUUGCUGUUUCGCUGACGAGUGGCGGACGGGUGAGUAAUGUCUGGGAAACUGCCUGAUGGAGGGGGAUAACUACUGGAAACGGUAGCUAAUACCGCAUAAUGUCGCAAGACUAAAGAGGGGGACCUUCGGGCCUCUUGCCAUCGGAUGUGCCCAGAUGGGAUUAGCUAGUAGGUGGGGUAACGGCUCACCUAGGCGACGAUCCCUAGCUGGUCUGAGAGGAUGACCAGCCACACUGGAACUGAGACACGGUCCAGACUCCUACGGGAGGCAGCAGUGGGGAAUAUUGCACAAUGGGCGCAAGCCUGAUGCAGCCAUGCCGCGUGUAUGAAGAAGGCCUUCGGGUUGUAAAGUACUUUCAGCGGGGAGGAAGGGAGUAAAGUUAAUACCUUUACUCAUUGACGUUACCCGCAGAAGAAGCACCGGCUAACUCCGUGCCAGCAGCCGCGGUAAUACGGAGGGUGCAAGCGUUAAUCGGAAUUACUGGGCGUAAAGCGCACGCAGGCGGUUUGUUAAGUCAGAUGUGAAAUCCCCGGGCUCAAC